CUGAUAAUCUGUUUCCGAGCCAAAUGGUCUAAAGGUUUCGACCAUGACGUUUGGCCUGAGCCCUCGGGCUCGCGGGGUAUGGCUGGAAACGGCCCUGCCUUCCUUUUGAGAAGGAGACAAAUAGGUGCGGGA
rnacentral:ncRNA from 2 species